rnacentral:rRNA from 1 species
CAAUAGCGUAUAUUAAAGUUGUUGCAGUUAAAAAGCUCGUAGUUGGAUUUCUGGUAGGAGUGACCGUUCCGAACUUGAUUGUUCGUGUAUUGUGUUUUCUCCAGCCAUCCUUGUGGAGAACUUUUCUUGCAUUAAUUUGUAGGGAUUGGGACCCGCAUCGUUUACCGUGAAAAAAUUAGAGUGUUUAAAGCAGGCAAUCGCUUGAAUACAUUAGCAUGGAAUAAUAAGAUAGGACUUUGGUACUAUUUUGUUGGUUUGCAUACCAAAUUAAUGAUCAACAGGAACAGUUUGAGGAUAUUCGUAUGAACAUGUCAGAGGUGAAAUUCUUGGAUUUUGAUCAGACGAACUACUGCGAAAGCAUUUAUCAAGGAUGUUUUCAUUAA